rnacentral:lncRNA from 1 species
CAAUGAUGAUGAAAUUAGAAAGGAAGACAAGAACAACAAGGUUGUGGAAUUCAGAAGCCAUAUAGACAAGAGCUGGGAAAACGGCAAUGGAUUAAUAACAAGAAAUUAAUGGUGAAGUGGUGACGAAAAUUCUACAUUGCUUAGAAAGCAAAUAGUGAAAUGAACAUUUACAUUCUGGCAACCUCAGAAGUACAACGAACAGAGGACACCAGCCAGGUAGGGCAAAGGCCUGUGCGCCCCCUUUUGCUGUUACAUGUUUAUCAGAUGCGUGCUCUGUUUCUGUUGUAUUACAUUACUUUUCUCUUCAAUGUCUACUGAGGAAGAACAAGUAGCUCCUCAGGCAAGUCAACUGUUAACUCUGCAGUUUUUAUUUAAUCUCCCAGGAAUGUAACCCUUAACUUUAAAGAAUGUAGUGACCAUAAAACUUAUAAGGCAUGUUUCUUAAGGAAAUUGUACCUGUUUAUUUAAUCUAUCAGAUAUGAAUGUUAUAGAAAAUUAAAUUUGUCCACUUAAGCUGUAGAUGAACUUUUCACCUUUCUGAUCAGAAAUUCACCAUUUUAUAGUAUAGGUUCUGUUAUUAAUCAGAAUAUUUCAUUUAGACUCUUUCUAUCCAACUUUUUCUUAGAGGCUAUUCAAAAUAAAGGUGCUUCUAACAGUUUCAUAUCGAAAUACGAUGCAAAGCCUUGCUCUUCCAUGGUAUCCUUUGAGUGAGCCAAACUUAUUUAGCCAUUCCCCUAUAGUUAAAUAGCUAGGAUGUUUCCAACAUCUCACCUUUAAAACAAUAGUGCUAUGAAUGUCAUAAAUGUUUGUAUAUGUAAAUAUGUAGGAUAAAUCCCUAUCAGUAGAAUUUCAAAAGGUAUACGCAAUCAGUAUUUUCAUACAUAUUUAAAAUUUUCCAUCCAUACAAAGGUUGCUAACAUAUUUAUUUAAAAUUUUAAAAAUAAUUUUAUAUGCCUCUUGUAACCAGUAAUAGGAUGCAAAGUUUUUGUUUUAAGGUAACAUUGCUCCUCUUCCCCCAUUGUCUCUGUCAUCUAUAGUACUCCCUAAGGUAGUUCAUGUUAUUGCAAGGGUGUGUAUCAUCCCAAACAUAUUGCUUCCACAUACAUAUAUCAGCAUACAUAUAUAUAUAUGUAUAGCAUAUAUAUAUAUGAGCACAUAUUAAUAUAUGCCCAUGCACAUACAAGCAUGUUUUUGUUAAUUUUUACUGAAAUGGAAUCAUGCUACAUACUUAUGAACAAAUUGCUUCUUUCACCUUAUAUCACUUAUAAUUGUUAUUCUACAAAUCAGUACAUAUAAAAAAUACAUAUUUACAUAUGUAAUACUCUAUCUGUUAUAAUUUUCUGCAUGCACAUGUAUGCAUAUACAUAUAUUCAUAAACAUAAAAAUCUAAACGGGAUUUUUUUGGG